UACGUAGGGCGCAAGCGUUGUCCGGAAUUAUUGGGCGUAAAGAGCUCGUAGGUGGCUUGUCACGUCGGGUGUGAAAGCUUGGGGCUUAACUCCAGGUCUGCAUUCGAUACGGGCUGGCUAGAGGUAGGUAGGGGAGAACGGAAUUCCUGGUGUAGCGGUGAAAUGCGCAGAUAUCAGGAGGAACACCGGUGGCGAAGGCGGGUCUCUGGGCCGAUACUGACGCUGAGGAGCGAAAGCGGUGGGGAGCGAACAGG
rnacentral:rRNA from 1 species